rnacentral:lncRNA from 1 species
AAAUCAUAGAGACAGAACGCAGGUUGGUGGUUUCAAGGGACUGUAGGAGAGAAUGAGAAGAAGCUGCUUAGUGGACCUGUUCCCAGCCAGAGUCCAGUGAGGAAGCAAUGUGGACAGGUGGAGGCCGGAUUAGGAAGAAGCAGAGCCAUGGCCAGGGGAAAAUAAAGAGGCAUGCCUGAAGCUCCAGAGAGGCAUCGAGGAGGCUGAUAAAGCAAAGUCAAUGAGAAAAUUGGCUCAUAAACAAACUUCAAGAAGUAAAUUUGACAAAAUCUUCUUGGCUGAUUGAGAUUUGCAGAUGCCAAGUGAAAGAUGGGGCAACAGUGGUGAAAUACUCUCUUGAAUCCAGCACAGGAGGGAGAAGAGUAAAGAAAGCCCCUCACACCUGCGAAGGGAGCACAACCACCCUCCUGAGAUGGAAGUAUGACCCCAUGAGGGAGGCGAGAAUACUCUGAUGGAGCUCCAUGCCCCGGACCUGCCUACCCCUCCCCCAGCCCCACAGAACUCCUCAGCAACGCCAAGUUCUUCUCUCAGUGACUCC